rnacentral:rRNA from 1 species
UGGGGAAUUUUGGACAAUGGGCGAAAGCCUGAUCCAGCAAUGCCGCGUGUGUGAAGAAGGCCUUCGGGUUGUAAAGCACUUUUGUCCGGAAAGAAAUGGCUCUGGUUAAUACCUGGGGUCGAUGACGGUACCGGAAGAAUAAGGACCGGCUAACUACGUGCCAGCAGCCGCGGUAAUACGUAGGGUCCAAGCGUUAAUCGGAAUUACUGGGCGUAAAGCGUGCGCAGGCGGUUGUGCAAGACCGAUGUGAAAUCCCCGAGCUUAACUUGGGAAUUGCAUUGGUGACUGCACGGCUAGAGUGUGUCAGAGGGGGGUAGAAUUCCACGUGUAGCAGUGAAAUGCGUAGAGAUGUGGAGGAAUACCGAUGGCGAAGGCAGCCCCCUGGGAUAACACUGACGCUCAUGCACGAAAGCGUGGGGAGCAAACAGGAUUAGAUACCCUGGUAGUCCACGCCCUAAACGAUGUCAACUAGUUGUUGGGGAUUCAUUUCCUUAGUAACGUAGCUAACGCGUGAAGUUGACCGCCUGGGGAGUACGGUCGCAAGAUUAAAACUCAAAAUGAAUUGACGGGGUCAUAGCUGUUUCC